CUCACAAUUUUUGCAAGCUCGAUAAACUCUCGUAGCGCUCGAUCAGUCACAAUUAAAAAAAAAAGAAAAAUUAUUGUAGUGCUGUCGUUGCUUGGUUGGAUACAUACACACUAUAUAUCUCUUUCUUGUUUUGUCAUAGAAGGUAGUAGUACUAUACUCUUAAAAACAAAUCUCCAUGCAUGAACUGGUUGUGUAGUAUUUUAUUAGUCAAGCAUUAUUACACAGUUACUUUGGCCCCUCU
rnacentral:lncRNA from 1 species